rnacentral:lncRNA from 1 species
UCUUCUUGAGAUAAUAAAGUAUUCUCCAAGUUAUUCAAGUAAGUCUUCCACUUUCUUAGUUCUAGUAUUUUUGGAGCUAUAUUUUCUUCUUCGUUCUUCUUCAAUUGUGGUUGUGAGUCUUGGGCUAGUGAAGCAUAAUUCACUACUCUAAGGAAGCAAUUUCCGAAAUUUGGGAAGUUGUUUUUCUUCACACAACUAUGAGACAUAAUUGAACAACCAUAUUGCUUCCAAGAUUUCUUAUGUUCAUCUAACAUCUUGUUAUUAUUAGUAACUUCUUCUUUUAGUAU